AGAGAAGGUUUAAGUUAAAGAGUGAGAUUUGUGCGUUAUCCUCUCUGUAGGGGCCUCUGCACCAUACACAUAGCUUUAUUAUGGGAGAGUAUUUACAGUGGGUGGUGAAUUUUAACCCACCCCAAACAAUUCUUACACAAAAUUGCGCAAAUUUCACAAGAUUCAAAUUAAAAAUUUAAAUAUAAACCAUCUGCUUUUAAGUUUAGUUUUACAAAGAAGCAAUGUCAGUCCUACUGUUUAAUUUGAAUUUACAUUUAUGAGACAUCUGAGACUUUAGUAAGUACUUACAUUGUUAAUUCAUUUUCAGUGCCCAUUUGAUGACCAAUUCUGGCCUGUCUAUCACAUACAUGUAUUGUGUACAAUUGCUUCUUUUAAUACUUUAGCAACCAGACAUACCCUAUAAACAUUUUAACAGUUAAUUCCUGCCUUCUUCAUUCUUAGUACUAGUAAGUUCCAGUUUACAGUUUACCAUUUUGGGUGAGAGGCAACUAUAUACAGUCCAUGUACCAUGCCAAGAAAUGAACAUAACCUGAAAACACAGCAUUGUCUGUACAAUACGGGGGGUGGGGGAGCAAAGACAAAGCAGGCUUGAUCUGUGCACAUAUAUGCCAUUCAGAGAAACAGGGAAGCUAGUGCACAUACUAUUGUACAUACUAGACAAAUCGUACAUACUAGACAAAUUCUGAUCCGCACGAAAUUCUUUGGGUAGACAGUCAGCCCCCAAAUCAUGUUUGCAAAGUUACAUUUUCAUAGCCAAUCCAUUGAUGUCUUAUUAAUUUUUGAAUAUCUAUCAAUACUGUCAGAGAAUUUGUGCGCGGUGACCUCAGCCCUCAACUAACUGAGCAAUGCACAUCGUUCUGUUUUGCCCUGUGGCUGGCCACAAGUGCUACACUCAUACACAUAGCUAGCUGGGUACAGUUGUCGUGCCAGCGGCGUUUCGCACAGUGCUCAGCAUAAUGUCGGCUCUACGUUGGAAUGAAUGCACUCCUUUUAGCAUUUACGGUUAACAAACGCACACAUAUUUAUCUUUAUUGAAAAUGCUGCUGAAUAGACCACAUGUAUCGACAACAUGGUAUUCAUUUCUAUUUUCUUCAGGUGAGAGCAUGUUAGCAGCCACAGGAAUAGCAGGUUUGAAAUGAUGGACCUCCCUCUUCAUUACAUUUCAGCCCAGCAGAGCUGAUCCCACUUGAAAGAUGCUGGUCACAAGAGUCACAGGCUAAAAAAGUGGAAAGUGCAGUGGUCCUUGUUUCAUUUGACCACUGAUAUUCAGACACGUUUGUUGUACUUCGGUGCUUUCAUGUACAUCUUGGCAGACCUUCAGACAAUCAUCCAAGGAUGGUUCUUGAACACUUCAUCAUGAUGACUUCAUCAUGUAAUUUAAUUUUGAAUAUUUAAUUUUUUGCCAUGGGGUUUGUACACAUUUGUCUACUACUGACUAAUGUGUGAGUAGUCCUCAAUUUUUGCUCAAGAUUUCUAUGAGAAUGAAAGAGAAAUUGUAUGCUUUAUGCUCUGUUAUUCGAUUUGAAAUAUACACAAGAGAAAACGUAUCACUUAAUAAUUCAGUUUAUUAAAGCAAAUCACGUUGCAUUAACUUAGAGAAGUUUGUUGCAAGUGUUUUAGCCCAUUGUACAUGUUUUCAAGCCACCAUUAUGGUAACUUUGCGAUGUUUGAUCAUUAUCAAAGUGACAGCCAACAAAGACCCUGAUGCAAGAAAUAUUCCAAAUGGAUAGCAUCAAGAUGACAUCACCAAUUUUUGAUUGAUUUUGAAUAUUUAAUGUUCCCCAUAAGUUUUGUACACGUUUUUCAACGGCCAGUCUUUGCCACCCUGGUCAAUCUGACUUAUUCCAUUUAUGUACACUUGUAGUCCACCUCGGAGAGAGGGUACCCAGACAGAAUUGUCAAAAUUACAUCAUCGGGUGUCAAGUGAUAUAAGAUUAAAGCUGAGUUUUUCUUCA